AACGAACGCUGGCGGCAUGCCUAACACAUGCAAGUCGAACGAUGCCUUCGGGCAUAGUGGCGCACGGGUGCGUAACGCGUGGGAAUCUGCCCUUGGGUUCGGAAUAACUCAGAGAAAUUUGAGCUAAUACCGGGUGAUGACGUAAGUCCAAAGAUUUAUCGCCCAAGGAUGAGCCCGCGUAAAGAUUAGCUAGUUGGUGGGGUAAAGGCCUACCAAGGCGACGAUCUUUAGCUGGUCUGAGAGGAUGAUCAGCCACACUGGGACUGAGACACGGCCCAGACUCCUACGGGAGGCAGCAGUGGGAAUAUUGGACAAUGGGCGAAAGCCUGAUCCAGCAAUGCCGCGUGAGUGAUGAAGGCCUUAGGGUGUAAAGCUCUUUACCAGGGAUGAUAAUGACAGUACCUGGAGAAUAAGCUCCGGCUAACUCCGUGCCAGCAGCCGCGGUAAU
rnacentral:rRNA from 1 species